GACCUCUUAGCUCAGUGGUAGAGCGUGAGAUUCCAGUUCUGGUUGGAAGCUCCUCAAGGUCAUCCGUUCAACUCGGGUAGGGGUCA
rnacentral:tRNA from 1 species